GAUGAACGCUGGCGGCGUGCCUAAUACAUGCAAGUCGAGCGAACAGAUGAGGAGCUUGCUCCUCUGACGUUAGCGGCGGACGGGUGAGUAACACGUGGAUAACCUACCUAUAAGACUGGGAUAACUUCGUGAAACCGGAGCUAAUACCGGAUAAUAUAUUGAACCGCAUGGUUCAAUAGUGAAAGACGGUUUUGCUGUCACUUAUAGAUGGAUCCGCGCCGCAUUAGCUAGUUGGUAAGGUAACGGCUUACCAAGGCAACGAUGCGUAGCCGACCUGAGAGAGUGAUCGGCCACACUGGAACUGAGAAGCGGUCAAGACUCCUACGGGAGGCAGCAGGAGGGAAUCUUCCGCAAUGGGCGAAAGCCUGACGGAGCAACGCCGCGUGCGUGAUGAAGGUCGUCGGAUCGUAGAACUCUGUUAUUAGUGAAGAACAAAUGUGUAAGUAACUAUGCACGUCUUGACGGUACCUAAUCAGAAAGCCACGGCUAACUACGUG
rnacentral:rRNA from 1 species